CUCUCUUUUCCUGCCGCCAUCCACCUAAGAUGUGACUUGCUCCUUGCCUUCCACCAUGAUUGUGAGGCCUCCCCAGCCAUGUGGAAAUCAUGUUCCAGAAGGCCAGGGCGGUCGGUUCUGCUGCACAAAUGAGGUCAGAGCAAUCAAGAGAGCCAAGGAAGUCCUACUUAUCUGGAUUAAAUAACUCAAUCUACAAACUACUCAACUUUAAUAUAAGGUGGAAAAUAGGAUUUCAAAAGAAAAGAAGAAGGAGAAGAACAAGGACAAGAAACUGAGUUUUGGCAGAAGGCAAGUGAGCAAUUAAAAAUAAAUCUUUCAUGAUUUGCUCCCACA
rnacentral:lncRNA from 1 species